rnacentral:rRNA from 1 species
AACAAACGCUGGCGGCGUGCCUAAUACAUGCAAGUCGAACGGGGAAAGCUUUCGGGUGAGUACUAGUGGCGCACGGGUGAGUAACGCGUGGAUAAUCUGCCUUAGAGUGGGGGAUAACUAGUCGAAGGAUUAGCUAAUACCGCAUAAGACCACAAGAACUGCGGUUCAAGAGGUCAAAGGUUUUUCGCUCUAAGAUGAGUCCGCGUAAGAUUAGCUAGUUGGUGAGGUAACGGCUCACCAAGGCAACGAUCUUUAACUGGUCUGAGGGGAUGAUCAGUCACACUGGAACUGAGACACGGCCCAGACUCCUACGGGAGGCAGCAGUAGGGAAUAUUGCACAAUGGAGGAAACUCUGAUGCAGCGACGCCGCGUGAGUGAUGAAGGCCUUCGGGUCGUAAAGCUCUGUCGCAGGGGAAUAACACAAUGAAUGUACCCUGUAAGAAAGGAUCGGCUAACUUCGUGCCAGCAGCCGCAGUAAUAC